rnacentral:rRNA from 1 species
AGGACGAACGCUGGCGGCGUGCUUAACACAUGCAAGUCGAGCGAGGCCCUUCCUUCGGGAAGGUGCCCUAGCGGCGAACGGGUGAGUAACACGUGGGCAACCUGCCCCUAGCACUGGGAUAACUCCGGGAAACCGGUGCUAAUACCGGAUACCCCCACCGAGUCGCAUGGCUUGGUGAGGAAAUGGAUUCCGCUUCGGGAGGGGCUCGCGGCCUAUCAGCUUGUUGGUGAGGUAACGGCUCACCAAGGCUUCGACGGGUAGC